AAAAACACUGGAGAAAUGAGACUUUUAAAGGCACAGAUGAUGAGUUUGGUAGAAUUUUUAUUUUUAAUUAAUUGCAGGCAAUGCUUGCAUCUAAAGACUACUGGAUGUUUUUCAGCAGGACUUUGAAGWCCUCCUCCUCUGCUCUAACUCUGGGUUAAAUGUGUGAAAAUGAAGGAGAACCACAGGUCACUGGAAAUGUUUGAGUCACAAACAUUUGCAACAUUUAUAUUAAUUGUCACUACAGACGAAGAACAUGUCUAAUGAAAGGAGGAGUCAGCACAUUGGCAUGUGGCCCAGUGGCAGAGGGAUGGCCAGUGAAGAAGAGGAUUUAACCCUCAAAAAAACUAAUGAGCCUUCACAUCCCUCCUGAUUUGGGCCUAAAGUGAGCAUCUGACAAAGAUGAACAGGCUUCCACAUGGCUUCGUUGAAGCAACCGCUCCCUCGACGAUAUGUAUCGACUUCUUGUGAAMAUUUUGAAAUGUGAGCAUCCGGCUUCAUUUCAUCCUAUCUGCACUGUGCUGGAGCCGCUCUCUGAACUAUGGGAACACUAAAGGCAAUGGCCUUUGGACUGUUUGUGCCCGACGGGUGCAUCUGGGGGCCCCGGUUUGCCCACUCCUGCUCUGCUGUGUGAUCUGAUGUGACACUAAGACGUCAUUAUCCUCAUCACUAUGCUAGCCUGCCGCUCCGCGCUGGAAACMGGCUUUGACAGCCAUCACCCCUCCAACCCGACUGGACCAGUGACCCUCUGACCYGCAGCCAUAAAGACGGUGCUCCAGUCCACCACUAUUACAUGCAGACCUCUGGACUAUGUAACCCUGACAUAGUCACAAGGUUUUGGAUUUCUUUUUCUAUGUCUUCUGCUUUUCUUCUUUAAAAAACUUUUCACUUUUUUGCACCUUUUCUCUGCUGUAGAAGAGUUUUUUUAUGUUUGGAGCUUCUUAAAGUUGGAUUAGUUCUUUGRUUUGUCCAGACUGUUGAUACCUCUGACCAGAUCAGGUGCAGAAAACCCUCAGCAACUCAGGCAUCUCUCAUUUCCUCUGCCGUUGAUUGUUUAGCUAAUCAGCCCUAAUUUGUGAUUGUAUUCAGCUAACAAAGAGGGACAGUGAUACCCACAUCGUGAUUCAUUACAUAAGCGGUCUCAUAUUAGAGGAAACACCUGCAAUAAGUCUGUUUUUCUUCCUCUUUUUCUUUUUAACCCAGCGUCAUAUUUUCCAGGCAUAGCCUCCCAAUCUUUUUAAAAUUUGAAACCUGGAAAGAAAGCUUGCCUCGGAUGCAUUUAAAAUAAAAAUAGUUGCUGUGCUCAGAUUCUAUCCCUCAUUAGAGAUGAUACUUGUGAGUAAUUUGCAACAUUUCUGUUGAGUGCUUUUUGAGGGCUUAAUUGUUUUCUGGCAUUUAGAGGGUGCUUUGAGUACUGUAUCAAAAAGCUGUUAAGGCCCAUAGUUCACACAUACUGUAAAAGGUGUGUUUCUGUUUAAUAGCUGCUCCGUUAUUGAAGCUAACCAUUAUUCCAAUGUGUGUGUUGUGACUUGUUUUGUGCAUUCAAACCGUCUCUCCUCACUUCCCUCAGGGACCCCCUCUACACAGCAGUUUAUCUCCGCAGGACAAAGAAUGCAUCUGAAACUUGUCGUCUUCCUUUGCAUCAGUUGUGUGUUGUUGUUUGUUUGUUUUUUUUCCCACAGUAAAAUGAGUCAUUGUGUCUUUUUUAGCUUCCAAAGUUGCGCCAGUAGGUGAAAACGUGUGUCGCAAACUGCUCGCAUCUCUGAACAAAAUGAAAACGUGGAAAUGUUAGGUCACGUCUGCUUAAAAUACCGUCUUCUCUCCUGUCAUUGAAGAGCCUGUAUACCUCGUCAGACACAGCAAUAGACCCCGGACCUCUCCUGUCGAGCCUGCAGGGGGGGGCUGGAGAAGGAGAAUCAGGGUGGGAACGGAGCCAAGAAGAGAUGAAACUGACAUAACAGAGUGGUUUUGUUUGUUUUUUGCUUUUUUUUUUCUGCUGUAAAUACAAGUCUAAAAGGAGAGAAUGAAGAAGUGUUUGUUUGUUAAACUAUUUUUAUUGUUCUGAAAAAAAUAAAGAUAAAAAGAAUGACUGAA